AGUCGAGGGGCAGCAUGAACUUAGCUUGCUAAGUUUGAUGGCGACCGGCGCACGGGUGAGUAACACGUAUCCAACCUGCCGAUGACUCGGGGAUAGCCUUUCGAAAGAAAGAUUAAUACCCGAUGGCAUAGUUCUUCCGCAUGGUAGAACUAUUAAAGAAUUUCGGUCAUCGAUGGGGAUGCGUUCCAUUAGGUUGUUGGCGGGGUAACGGCCCACCAAGCCUUCGAUGGAUAGGGGUUCUGAGAGGAAGGUCCCCCACAUUGGAACUGAGACACGGUCCAAACUCCUACGGGAGGCAGCAGUGAGGAAUAUUGGUCAAUGGACGAGAGUCUGAACCAGCCAAGUAGCGUGAAGGAUGACUGCCCUAUGGGUUGUAAACUUCUUUUAUACGGGAAUAAAGUGAGGCACGUGUGCCUUUUUGUAUGUACCGUAUGAAUAAGGAUCGGCUAACUCCGUGCCAGCAGCCGCGGUAAUACGGAGGAUCCGAGCGUUAUCCGGAUUUAUUGGGUUUAAAGGGAGCGUAGGCGGACGCUUAAGUCAGUUGUGAAAGUUUGCGGCUCAACCGUAAAAUUGCAGUUGAUACUGGGUGUCUUGAGUACAGUAGAGGCAGGCGGAAUUCGUGGUGUAGCGGUGAAAUGCUUAGAUAUCACGAAGAACUCCGAUUGCGAA
rnacentral:rRNA from 1 species